rnacentral:rRNA from 1 species
AAGAGAUGUCGAGCUUUCUUCUGGGAAGGAACAGAGCAGAUUCAUGGAGGGCAGUGCUUAGUCUCUUGGCAAAAGGUAUGUAGACCUAAGGAGCUGGGCGGCCUCGGCAUCAUGGACCUAAAAAGACACGGUCUAGCUUUAAGACUGCGCUGGGAGUGGAUACAACGCACUGAUUCCACUAAACCAUGGCACGGUCUGUCGAUGACAUGCGACCCACAAGUUCAGAUAGCUUUCAACAGCUUGGUGCAUUGGAGGUUAGGAUCUGGGGAUAAGGUGCUAUUUUGGAAGGACAGAUGGAUUGAUGGGGCCUCGAUCGAUGAUAUUGCACCUGAUGUCAAGAAACUGAUUCGCACCCAAACCGCCAACAAGAGAUUGGUGAAGGAUGGAUUACUAAAUCAUAGAUGGGCAUCGGACAUAACAGGAGAGUUGUCCACCGAUGGCCUAAUCCAGCUGAUCCGACUUUGGGAGAUCAUGCUGAACACGCAGCUCAACCCCAACCAGCAAGAUGAGGCGAUCUGGCCAUGGAACGAACGCGGAGUCUACACUUCUGCUUCGGCUUAUAAGAUGCUAUUCAUGGGA